UUUUAUGAGAGUUUGAUCCUGGCUCAGGACGAACGCUGGCGGCGUGCCUAAUACAUGCAAGUCGAACGCUUCUUUUUCCACCGGAGCUUGCUCCACCGGAAAAAGAAGAGUGGCGAACGGGUGAGUAACACGUGGGUAACCUGCCCAUCAGAAGGGGAUAACACUUGGAAACAGGUGCUAAUACCGUAUAACAAUCGAAACCGCAUGGUUUUGAUUUGAAAGGCGCUUUCGGGUGUCGCUGAUGGAUGGACCCGCGGUGCAUUAGCUAGUUGGUGAGGUAACGGCUCACCAAGGCCACGAUGCAUAGCCGACCUGAGAGGGUGAUCGGCCACAUUGGGACUGAGACACGGCCCAAACUCCUACGGGAGGCAGCAGUAGGGAAUCUUCGGCAAUGGACGAAAGUCUGACCGAGCAACGCCGCGUGAGUGAAGAAGGUUUUCGGAUCGUAAAACUCUGUUGUUAGAGAAGAACAAGGAUGAGAGUAACUGUUCAUCCCUUGACGGUAUCUAACCAGAAAGCCACGGCUAACUACGUGCCAGCAGCCGCGGUAAUACGUAGGUGGCAAGCGUUGUCCGGAUUUAUUGGGCGUAAAGCGAGCGCAGGCGGUUUCUUAAGUCUGAUGUGAAAGCCCCCGGCUCAACCGGGGAGGGUCAUUGGAAACUGGGAGACUUGAGUGCAGAAGAGGAGAGUGGAAUUCCAUGUGUAGCGGUGAAAUGCGUAGAUAUAUGGAGGAACACCAGUGGCGAAGGCGGCUCUCUGGUCUGUAACUGACGCUGAGGCUCGAAAGCGUGGGGAGCAAACAGGAUUAGAUACCCUGGUAGUCCACGCCGUAAACGAUGAGUGCUAAGUGUUGGAGGGUUUCCGCCCUUCAGUGCUGCAGCUAACGCAUUAAGCACUCCGCCUGGGGAGUACGACCGCAAGGUUGAAACUCAAAGGAAUUGACGGGGGCCCGCACAAGCGGUGGAGCAUGUGGUUUAAUUCGAAGCAACGCGAAGAACCUUACCAGGUCUUGACAUCCUUUGACCACUCUAGAGAUAGAGCUUCCCCUUCGGGGGCAAAGUGACAGGUGGUGCAUGGUUGUCGUCAGCUCGUGUCGUGAGAUGUUGGGUUAAGUCCCGCAACGAGCGCAACCCUUAUUGUUAGUUGCCAUCAUUCAGUUGGGCACUCUAGCAAGACUGCCGGUGACAAACCGGAGGAAGGUGGGGAUGACGUCAAAUCAUCAUGCCCCUUAUGACCUGGGCUACACACGUGCUACAAUGGGAAGUACAACGAGUCGCGAAGUCGCGAGGCUAAGCUAAUCUCUUAAAGCUUCUCUCAGUUCGGAUUGCAGGCUGCAACUCGCCUGCAUGAAGCCGGAAUCGCUAGUAAUCGCGGAUCAGCACGCCGCGGUGAAUACGUUCCCGGGCCUUGUACACACCGCCCGUCACACCACGAGAGUUUGUAACACCCGAAGUCGGUGAGGUAACCUUUUGGAGCCAGCCGCCUAAGGUGGGAUAGAUGAUUGGGGUGAAGUCGUAACAAGGUAGCCGUAUCGGAAGGUGCGGCUGGAUCACCUCCUUUCUAAGGAA
rnacentral:rRNA from 1 species